GACGAACGCUGGCGGCGUGCCUAAUACAUGCAAGUAGAACGCUGAAGAGAGGAGCUUGCUCUUCUUGGAUGAGUUGCGAACGGGUGAGUAACGCGUAGGUAACCUGCCUUGUAGCGGGGGAUAACUAUUGGAAACGAUAGCUAAUACCGCAUAACAAUGGAUGACACAUGUCAUUUAUUUGAAAGGGGCAAUUGCUCCACUACAAGAUGGACCUGCGUUGUAUUAGCUAGUAGGUGAGGUAAUGGCUCACCUAGGCGACGAUACAUAGCCGACCUGAGAGGGUGAUCGGCCACACUGGGACUGAGACACGGCCCAGACUCCUACGGGAGGCAGCAGUAGGGAAUCUUCGGCAAUGGGGGCAACCCUGACCGAGCAACGCCGCGUGAGUGAAGAAGGUUUUCGGAUCGUAAAGCUCUGUUGUAAGUCAAGAACGGGUGUGAGAGUGGAAAGUUCACACUGUGACGGUAGCUUACCAGAAAGGGACGGCUAACUACGUGCCAGCAGCCGCGGUAAUACGUAGGUCCCGAGCGUUGUCCGGAUUUAUUGGGCGUAAAGCGAGCGCAGGCGGUUUGAUAAGUCUGAAGUUAAAGGCUGUGGCUCAACCAUAGUUCGCUUUGGAAACUGUCAAACUUGAGUGCAGAAGGGGAGAGUGGAAUUCCAUGUGUAGCGGUGAAAUGCGUAGAUAUAUGGAGGAACACCGGUGGCGAAAGCGGCUCUCUGGUCUGUAACUGACGCUGAGGCUCGAAAGCGUGGGGAGCGAACAGGAUUAGAUACCCUGGUAGUCCACGCCGUAAACGAUGAGUGCUAGGUGUUGGAUCCUUUCCGGGAUUCAGUGCCGCAGCUAACGCAUUAAGCACUCCGCCUGGGGAGUACGACCGCAAGGUUGAAACUCAAAGGAAUUGACGGGGGCCCGCACAAGCGGUGGAGCAUGUGGUUUAAUUCGAAGCAACGCGAAGAACCUUACCAGGUCUUGACAUCCCGAUGCUAUUUCUAGAGAUAGAAAGUUACUUCGGUACAUCAGUGACAGGUGGUGCAUGGUUGUCGUCAGCUCGUGUCGUGAGAUGUUGGGUUAAGUCCCGCAACGAGCGCAACCCCUAUUGUUAGUUGCCAUCAUUCAGUUGGGCACUCUAGCGAGACUGCCGGUAAUAAACCGGAGGAAGGUGGGGAUGACGUCAAAUCAUCAUGCCCCUUAUGACCUGGGCUACACACGUGCUACAAUGGUUGGUACAACGAGUUGCGAGUCGGUGACGGCGAGCUAAUCUCUUAAAGCCAAUCUCAGUUCGGAUUGUAGGCUGCAACUCGCCUACAUGAAGUCGGAAUCGCUAGUAAUCGCGGAUCAGCACGCCGCGGUGAAUACGUUCCCGGGCCU
rnacentral:rRNA from 1 species